AUUGAACGCUGGCGGCAGGCCUAACACAUGCAAGUCGAACGAGUGGCGGACGGGUGAGUAAUGUCUGGGAAACUGCCUGAUGGAGGGGGAUAACUACUGGAAACGGUAGCUCAUACCGCAUACCUUCGGAUGUGCCCAGAUGGGAUUAGCUAGUAGGUGGGGUAAAGGCCUACCAAGGCGACCAUCCGUAACUGGUCUGAGAGGAUGAUCAGUCACACUGGAACUAAGACACGGUCCAGAAUCCUACGGGAGGCAGCAGUGGGGAAUAUUGGACAAUGGGCGAAAGCAUGAGCCAGCCAUGCAGCGUGGGUGAAGAAGGUCUUCGGAUUGUAAAGCACGUUAAGUUGGGAGGCGUUACCAACAGAAUAAGCACCGGCGAACUGCGUGCCAGCAGCAGCGGUAAUAC
rnacentral:rRNA from 1 species